rnacentral:lncRNA from 1 species
ACAAACAUGAAGAACACAAAAUUAUAAGAAUCAAACCCAAAAAAAAGAAUGCUUUCUGUAUAUCAGACUAUUGAGUUGGGCUCAAACCUAUUGAAUUGCAUUACCAUUUAUAGAAUUUAUACUAUCAUAAGUAUGAGUGAUCAUAAAUUGAGACAAUUGUAAGUUAAGGACUAUCAGUAAUAACUAAAUUGUACCCUAACAUAUUAUAUAGUUGUAGGAAGGAUGUAUGUGUUAAUAUUUACUAUUUUGACUUGAGGGCAAAAUACUCCAUCAUGUUGAAAGAUGACAUCAUGGAUAUCAACAAAUUUUUCUCAGAUAGAAUGUUGCAGAGAUCCACAAAGGAUUGUUAUGCAUUUCACUACAUUCACUUUACAAUCUAUGAAGUGAAGUUGGCCAACAUCUGUAUAAGAAAUGCACUUCCAAACCAUUUGACUAAGAGAAAUACUUCAUAGUUCGUCUAAUGCAGUCAGGAUGAUAUUUUUCUGAAACUCUCUGGUGUGCAUACUCCACUCCAUCAGAGCUGUGGAGAUUUAAUUUUGGUUAAUUAGAAAAUACUUCUUUUUCCAAUUGUCUUUUAUCCAUGUUUUAUGUACUUGAGAUGAGCAAACUUCAUAUUCUUUGUCAACAAUGACUUCUUUAUAUGAUAGAAUGCAGUCAGGCCCAUACUGCUAAAUCAAUUUCUAAUAACAUGAGUUCUUACUUGUUGUCCAAGUAUACUUUCCCAAAUCAGUUUAAGGUCAGUGGAUGUGGCAGUCCUGUUCGAGUGAAAAUUUUUUCAAUAACGAUCCUAGGAUAUUAUUUUCUUUCCUCCCUGCCUUUCAUUUGUUCCCCCAGUUUCUUUCCAUUUCUUUAAUAGCUUUGACACUAAGAACUGAUUAAAUCCAACUUUUGAUGCAAUAUCUCUAGUAGAAUAUCCUUCCUUGUGCAGUGCACACAUACUUUGAAGGAGUCAUUUUUACAGUUCUUUUCAUAGUGAAAUCACUUAAGAAUGCACAAACACACAACUCCAACAACAACAACCAUCUUCAAUCUUCUGAACUGAU